GCACUGCUGACGAGUCCCAAACAGAACGAAGCAGCUGUCCAGUGC
rnacentral:hammerhead_ribozyme from 1 species